UCUUGCUUGGACAUGGAAAUU
rnacentral:piRNA from 1 species